rnacentral:tRNA from 1 species
GAAAGAUUAGUUAAUAAAUAAUAUUAAUUUGUCAAAUUAAAGUAACUUUAGUAUUUUUCU